rnacentral:tRNA from 1 species
CAGAAUAUAGUUUAGAAAAUAUUAGUUUUGGAGACUAAAGAAGUCUUUUACAAGACUAUUCUGA